GUGCGAACGAGUGGGCCAUUUUCAUAGCGUGGGCGUUUGUCCGUCACGGGGGCGUUGCGAGCCGUCAACCAGAAUCGUGUGGACUAAUCUGAGCUGUGGUCCAUGACGGUAGUCUAGGUCGUUCGGAAAACCUGAGCCGUGGCGACACGAGAAACCAGAUUUCUGCGGCGGCUUGUGCUUCCUCUGGCGGCGGAGCAAUGGAAGCCGACGGGUUGGAGUUCCCGGCAGAUCCCGUGGACCGGUGAGUUUCCCUUUCGCGAUGUUCGUCUUUCGAUUGCUUGUUUGCCUUGGGGGCUGGAUUUUCGGUCCACGAUUUUGGUGACCGCCCACCACCAUCGCCGGUGACCACGCUGCGACUCGCGGGUUUCCUACAAGAUCCGGUUGCGGACAGUCUAGAACAUCCAGAUCCGGUCUCCUUUGUGCUGCUGCCGCCCCGUGAUGCCCAUCCGGCUAUGCCGCCUGAUUCCACUGUCGGGUCAGGCUCCGCUCGGCAUGAAUGUGGCCGCAGCCCCGUUAGGCCGGGAGGGGAACGCCGGGGAAAAAGAAUGCUUCUCUGACUCUACACAAUCCAAUAGGAGGGAGAACCAUGAAGCACCUGGGUGAACGAAAAGGUUGCGGAUGGGCACUGCACCACCAGACAGAACUCUGUGUGCCUCAAGAAUGAGUGCACUGGAAUAAUCUAUUCCCAAAUUCGCCAAGGCUUCUAUGAAGUGUGUGAUCAAACUAGAACUUGGAUUGAGUUUCGACUCCCUUGGUAUGCUCGUAAUCGGCACUACAGUGGGUGGAGAAAAUUCAGAAGAUGAGACCCCAAACAAUAGGGGAUUGUUGCUAGGAGGUCGAACAUGCGAUCAUGAAGCUCAGGCGGCAGCAAGCCGUGAAGUUGUUCUAAGUAUGAGGUUGAAAACUUGUGCCAUGUUUACAGAUGUAGUGCCAUACUGUCCAGCUGAGCAACCAUCGCAGACUAAUGAUGAGCGGGUGAGUAAGUACAAGGAAAUGUAUUAUGCUGCCGGCCGUCAGUUGUCGGUAUACUGACAUGAUGGUAAAAUGCAAGUAAUGCUGAUGGUGGAACAAGGGUUGGCGGUGGUACUGAGGCUGCACAAGUUGAAUGUUCAACAUCACUGGCAAGGGACAUGGUUAGGGAUCAUGGUCUUGCCACAGGGUUGUGUGGCCAGCCUGGGAUUGCUGAGUACAUGGAGAAGUGCAGAAUUCCGUACAAGGUCAUUUCCAAAGGAAGGGAGCAGGAUAGGGUGAGUGGUGCUGGGAAUCCGCCAGGUGAUCCGGCGGUGAAGAGUGAGUGGGGAGAGAAGUUCUGUCAUUCCGUCGGACUAAACCAUGACCAGCUGUCGCUUCAGGAUGUUCUUCGGUUCUAUGACAACAUGCUGGGCUGUUCUAGGGAACUGCGGAAGAAAUGGUUUAGGUACUUCAAUCCGUUUGUGGUGGUGAUGUCCAAGCAAGACCUGAAGGAUGAACUAGGACUUGGUGGUGAGUUAUCAAUGACUGGCUGGAGGUGCAUCCAUGGCAUGAUAAGUGCCAAGAAAUGAAGAUGUAUCGCAGGUGGCUCUAUAGAUGGAGAGGGGUUUUCGAUCCAUGCUUCGUGAUGUUCAUCCCCCUUGUUCCGCUGGAGGAAGGAUGGUUGCCGCUAAUGUGGGACAUGAUGUCGAAGAAGUUGCCGAUGACACGGCAUUACGACGGCAUAAAACUGAAGGCUUCCCCUGACGAAGGUAUUGCUACAACCAACGAACUCUCAUGAAUGGGGACUCCCCCACAAAGAGUACAUAUGCAGCGGGGUCAGCUUAGCUCAGCCCGCCGGAACUGGACCAAAUAUGGAGCUCACAAGUCAUUCUUCAUAGAAACGGAAGGCACAUUUGCUGGGAAAGUUGUGACUGGGCACAUUUAUUGCUGUACAAGGACAUAACUAUCAGAAGCUCACAGUUUCAGCAAGAAUGUGCGUAUCUCCAUGGGCCCCAGCUCGACAACAAGGGAUUGACUGUCAACCGGGCUACCGGUAAUUGGGGCAGGACCACUUUCGGUGUCUCCGACAACCCUCCACUUGAGCUUCCUCAUCGCCUCCUUCUUUUGGUUGGCGGACAGAGAAACCUGCUUCGGGAGGCUUCAGGUUUGCAUUACCGAAAAAGGCUUUCGCCCCGCUUAUAAAUAAAGCAAACCACCAAUGCAUAGACAGGUUUGUAUUACAACUUUGCGAAGAGCUCUAUCUCUCCUAUCCGCUGCGACGCCAUCGAUCUCCAACUGGUCCUCGACAGUCGGGCCUGCUGCGGAAGUCUGACCUCCAGGCCCUGAUCGACAAGAUCACUGGCCGUUUGACAGUGUGGAAAGCUCCUCUACUCACCCGCGCAUGAAGGUUAGUCAAGCUUAACUCAGUCCUCACUCCGUCCUUGGUGUAUCAGAUGGUCUCGCUUGACCAACCGCCAUGGUCUAUCAACUGUAUCGUGUAUCGACAAGUUUCGCCGCGGCUUCUUCUAGCGCGGCGGGGAGGAAGCCGAAGGUGGGCACUACCUUGUUGCCUGGAACGUUGCCUGCUUUCCGCGUGCAUCGGGGCGCCUCGGCAUUCACAACCCACGGCUGCUCAAUAAGGCUCUUGCAUCAGAUGCCGCUGACUCGAGAAAGUAGUCCACGACAAGCCAUAGCAAGGGAUGUCAAUCUCCAUUCCCCGCGAAGCAGAGGACCUGUUCCUUGUCCCUAGGCCACAGAUCCAGGCUAUGUUUCUGGCAUGAUUGGUGGAUCAGCAGGCGUAGCAUCUCCCAGGCGGCUUCUCCCCCAUCCACCUUGCUGCCAGCUCUCUGACCAAGCGCCGGAGGACCUGAGCCACAUCUUGCUGCAGCGCUCCUUCUCGAGGGAGGUUUUGGUACUCCAUCCUGCUUUUCGAUGCGCCUUGAUUGAUUCACUCCUAGGGCUGCAACCUCUGUAGCGGAAUGGUAGCCGGCGCUUAGCGUGGCUGUGGCACCAAACUGCUGGAAGGAGGUGAGCUCGCUGAUCAUGUUAUGUGGACCAGUCCAUCAAAUGUGGAGUCUUACUCUUAUCCCUUAUUUACAGUCCUAGUUUUUUUGGGUGGAAUUCCAGUCCUAGUUGAUUAAGCAUCUUUGUUAGGAAAGAGUCCAGUCAGUUUAGAGAUUGUAUUAGAGUUUCAAUUUCAGUUUUGCUAAAGUCUUGUCUAUUAUAUAAAGGGGCCGACCCCUCUCAAUAAAGCAGAGAAGAAUAUUGUCUUUUACUUUUA